rnacentral:snRNA from 1 species
GGAUGUGAGGGUGAUCUGGCUGAGACAUCUGUCACCCCAUUGAUUGCCAGGAUUUAUUUGGCUGAUCUGGCUAGCUAGGCAGGUGUCCCCUUCCUCCCUCACUGCUCCAUGUGUGUCCCUCCCAAAGCUACGCGCUCGGUGGAAGAAGACAGCCUUCCCCAAUAAAGAUAGACCAGUCUUUGGUCGAGGGUAUACAAGUAGCUGUGCUCCCCUGCUAGAACCUCCAAACAAGCUCUCAAGGUCCAACUAUGACACCAUCUCCCCAGACAAUACCUUUGGUCCACCUGCAAGUUAGCUGUCAGGAUCAGG